GGUUAAGGAGCUAUCGCUUACUUCCGGUAUACUUCCGGAAAAUUUGCAUGAAACUUACAAGUGAGCUUUGUUCUCUGUAGAAUUCUAAAGAUUCCAUGCUAAUUUAAGCAAAGAGAGAUGGUCUUUUUAGUUACUUUUAUGACUUGUGACUAUCUUAGGCAAGUCCUUUAGAUAUUGAGUUUUGAACGUGUCAAAUAGAUGGCGUGAAAGAAUGUUGUUUGUUGUGUCACAUAUGGGCUAAUGGCGGUUCGUUGUCAAAAGUUCAGCUACAGCUAUCUUCUUCGAAAAUUACCAAUGAAUUCGUUGGAAAAAAUGUGAAAGGUGCAUGAAGCCAGUACCGUCAACUAUUGUGUUAAAAAUCCUGGUACUACAGAAUAUGUCAUCCAAAUGACAGAGUGGAUUCAUCACUAUUAUCGGCUGAAUCAUUCUAUGGGACUUGCCAGAUCACUAACCCAAGCAUGGACCAAUUUCUCAUUCCAUCUUCUAGAGAACCUUACAUAACCGAUUGGUGGUUUAGUGUGUUUUAGGUUUCUAAUGUAGCAUGAUGAUGAUAGACUUUAUGAGAAGUCAUGUUGUUUGAAGAAAAAGGACCAUACAGUUGACAAGGUUCUUUGCUAACCCGUUGGCUGCUACCCUUGAAUCUCCCUGUUUACUUCCUUACACAGGUCCUCUUGUUUUAAGGGUAAUCCUUCGCUACUGAUCAUACACCCACUUGUGAAAACCGACGAGAGAAUGCUGU
rnacentral:lncRNA from 1 species